rnacentral:rRNA from 1 species
UAUUGCACAAUGGGCGCAAGCCUGAUGCAGCCAUGCCGCGUGUGUGAAGAAGGCCUUCGGGUUGUAAAGCACUUUCAGCGAGGAGGAAGGCGUUGUAGUUAAUAGCUGCAACGAUUGACGUUACUCGCAGAAGAAGCACCGGCUAACUCCGUGCCAGCAGCCGCGGUAAUACGGAGGGUGCAAGCGUUAAUCGGAAUUACUGGGCGUAAAGCGCACGCAGGCGGUUUGUUAAGUCAGAUGUGAAAUCCCCGAGCUUAACUUGGGAACUGCAUCUGAAACUGGCAAGCUAGAGUCUUGUAGAGGGGGGUAGAAUUCCAGGUGUAGCGGUGAAAUGCGUAGAGAUCUGGAGGAAUACCGGUGGCGAAGGCGGCCCCCUGGACAAAGACUGACGCUCAGUGCGAAA